GUACAACUCCGUACGGGAGGCAGCAGUGGGGAAUAUUGCACAAUGGGCGCAAGCCUGAUGCAGCCAUGCCGCGUGUGUGAAGAAGGCCUUCGGGUUGUAAAGCACUUUCAGUAGGGAGGAGGUAGUGUAGUUAACACCUGCACUAUUUGACGUUACCUACAGAAGAAGCACCGGCUAAACUCCGUGCCAGCAGCCGCGGUAAUACGGAGGGUGCGAGCGUUAAUCGGAAUUACUGGGCGUAAAGCGCAUGCAGGCGGCCUGUUAAGUCAGAUGUGAAAGCCCCGGGGCUUAACCUCGGAAUUGCAUUUGAAACUGGCAGGCUAGAGUCUUGUAGAGGGGGUAGAAUUUCAGGUGUAGCGGUGAAAUGCGUAGAGAUCUGAAGGAAUACCAGUGGCGAAGGCGGCCCCCUGGACAAAGACUGACGCUCAGAUGCGAAAGCGUGGGGAGCAAACAGGAUUAGAUACCCUGGGAG
rnacentral:rRNA from 1 species